rnacentral:lncRNA from 1 species
UUGACUGUUGUUAUUGUGGGUCAGAUCUAUAUAACACCUUUGUCAAGCUUAAGCACAAGAUCAACAUAGCAACCUCAGUCUCCCAUCAUCAUUCCAAAGAAAUCCUCAACCUCCAUCCUUCUUCAGAUCAACACCCCACCAUGAGAUACAGCUGCAGAGCCUUUGUUGCUGUGUUCUCAUUGAUUCUGUUGCAUUGUAUCGUGCUGUCACUGCUCACUCUCCAUCAAGAGACACAAGCCCAAUACUCAAGAGAUAGAAGCUAUCCCAGAAGAAUGCUGGUUCCCUCAAACUCGUUCUCGGCUCACUUGAACAAGCUGAGUGAAGCUGCUAAAGAUCUUCAGGAAUCUGUUGAAGCCAGCCUGAAGAGAGCGCCUGGGAGCAAGUCGAAUCCGACCCAGAACAGAUAGCUCUGGAAGAUUCUGUUUUAGGCUAUAGAGAUCUCAACUCAGACUAAGAAAGAGAGAAAUCAACUUUUUCUCUCUUUCUACAUUUUUGCAAUUUCUUUAUUUUUCUUUUCCUUUUUCUGGUUUUCUGAUUAGGUAGGAGAACUGGAUGUAUUAGCAGUUGCUUGACCGUA